UACGUAGGGUGCUAGCGUUGUCCGGAAUCAUUGGGCGUAAAGAGCGUGUAGGCGGCCCGGUAAGUCCGCUGUGAAAGUCGGGGGCUCAACCCUCGAAUGCCGGUGGAUACUGUCGGGCUAGAGUGCGGAAGAGGCGAGUGGAAUUCCUGGUGUAGCGGUGAAAUGCGCAGAUAUCAGGAAGAACACCCGUGGCGAAGGCGGCUCUCUGGGACGGUACUGACGCUGAGACGCGAAAGCGUGGGGAGCGAACAGG
rnacentral:rRNA from 1 species